CCUACGGGUGGCAGCAGUAGGGAAUAUUCCUCAAUGGGGGAAACCCUGACGCAGCAACGCCGCGUGGGGGAUGAAGGUUUUCGGAUUGUAAACUCCUUUUGUAAGAGAAGAUAAUGACGGUAUCUAACGAAUAAGCACCGGCUAACUCCGUGCCAGCAGCCGCGGGAAUACGUAGGGUGCAAGCGCUACGCGGAAUCACUGGGCGUAAAGAGCGCGUAGGCGGGAUAGCAAGUCAGAUGUGAAAUCCUAUGGCUUAACCAUAGAACUGCAUUUGAAACUGUUAGUCUAGAGUAUGGGAGAGGUAGGUGGAAUUCUUGGUGUAGGGGUAAAAUCCGUAGAGAUCAAGAGGAAUACUCAUUGCGAAGGCGACCUGCUAGAACAUAACUGACGUUGAGGCACGAAAGCGUGGGGAGCAAACAGGAUUAGAUACCCCUGUAGUC
rnacentral:rRNA from 1 species